UGCCAGCCGCCGCGGUAAUACGGAGGGUGCAAGCGUUGUUCGGAAUUAUUGGGCGUAAAGCGUAUGUAGGUGGUUUUUCAAGUCAGACGUGUAAGCCCUCGGCUCAACCGAGGAAUUGCGUUUGGAACUGAUUGACUUGAGUAUAGGAGAGGAAAGCGGAAUUCCCAGUGUAGCGGUGAAAUGCGUUGAUGUUGGGAAGAACACCGGUGGCGAAGGCGGCUUUCUGGCCUAUUACUGACACUGAGAUACGAAAGCUAGGGGAGCAAAGGGGAUUAGAUA
rnacentral:rRNA from 1 species